GACGAACGCUGGCGGCGUGCUUAACACAUGCAAGUCGAACGAAGUGGCGCACGGGUGAGUAACGCGUAAUCAACCUGCCCUUCAGUGGGGUACAACAGUUGGAAACGACUGCUAAUACCGCAUACUGAUGGAGGGGAUUGCGUCUGAUUGGCUCGUUGGAGGGGUAACGGCCACCCAGGGCGAUGAUAAGUAGCAGGUCUGAGAGGAUGAACGGCCACAGUGGGACGGAGACACGGCCCAGACUCCUACGGGAGGCAGCAGGGGGGAAUCUGCCGCAAUGGACGAAAGUCUGACGGAGCAACGCCGCGUGAGUGAUGACGGCCUUCGGGUUGUAAGGCUCUGUUAAUCGGGACGCGGUACCGGAAUAGAAAGCCACGGCUAACUACGUGCCAGCAGCCGCGGUAAUAC
rnacentral:rRNA from 1 species